UCCUGCUUCUCCGAGGUCAUUCCACCAUAGUCGAAGCUCCAAAAGAAUUUUGUUCAUUAUCGUGCUCAUUCUGCAUAUUUAUUAGGGCGAAUUAAUAUUCUCAAAACAUUUAAAACUAACAUCUUUAUUUUAAAAGAUAGGACCGGCUUGGCAAAUACGGCCUUCCAACACUUCGCCGAGAGGGUUUUCCAGGUUGUGCUUGCUUACAAGUCCAAACAAAAUUUAGAGGUAGCCAUUUGCGUAAGAUCAGCCUUACGUCGUCCCUUGUAGCAACAUUCAGCUAUUAUCGCGAUAAUGGCACCAUCCGACUUAUUUAAGAGUAAGAAAAUAAACUCAGGCAUUUCUUGGCAGUUUUUGAAAAAGGGGUUGGCCCUGGCGAAAAUAAUUUAUCAAAACCCGGGACAUUAUUGAAAAACUCCAAAAUUUGGUGCCUUUGUUUUGUUGUUUUUGUUGUUUUGUAUUUUUGUUUUGAAAAAUCCAGCAGCAUUUCGGCGUUAUUUGAGCAUUGGUUUUAAAAAGUGACAACCCUAGCACUGCUCUUUUUCUCAAUUAUUCCUUUUUUUAAGGCUGGUCAACAAGUGAAUCCAAAGCAAAUAAAUGUGCAAGUAGCACGUAAAAAAUGCAUCAGGGUGGUCUUUUAUUUCAGGGCACCUAUCCUAGACGGACCCAACCCCUGUGAUGAGUCCCCUAAGCCAAAAUGCAUGAUGCAAAUAAACGUUCCUACUAGGGAUCCGGCAUGAAGUUUUGUUAUACUAAGUUGAGAACUUCGAUAUAGGGUGUAGACUGUGUGCCCGAGCAGACAACUCGAGUCGAGGCGGGGUCUAAGUACCGUCCCUAAGUCAAAAUGCAUGAUGCAAACAAACGUUCCUACUAGGGAUCCAGCAUGAAGUUUUUUUAUACUAAGUUGAGAACCUUGGUAUAGGUCUAGACUGUGUACCCAAGUGGACAACUCGAGUCGAUGAGGUGGCUACGUACCGGGGACUCGCGAGAUCGUCUAGCUUUGUAACUUGUCCGGCCUCUUUCUUAUUUCAGGGUAUGACACUAACAGAAUACGGAGUCUCAACCAGUAAGCACAACCCCGGAGGUGUGAAUUGAAGGGUUUCCUAACAGUUUAUAUAUACAGUUUAGAUAAUAUCAAAGCAGUAAAACAUUCGGCAUUUAGCACAGAACAGGUAAGAAAAUCAGAAGAAGCCAAAUAUAACAGUUAUUGUAAGCUGGAAUUCUUGAACCCCGAACCACAGAUUCUGGGUUCGUUCCCCAGCAGAGUCGCCACAGCUGUCACACCACCUUUUUUCUACUUACACGUGGUUACCCCGAAAGAUAACAUAUGUAUAGGAGUUUUUCCAAUUAAAGUGACACUAUUUGAUAUGGGAUUAAUUAUUUUAUUUAACAGUCGCCACUCGGCAUAGGUUUGGUUUUUGGUGUCCCAAGUCACCGGUUUAUUUCGAAUCCCAAAUCGAGGAAAUUUUUACUGCCCAAUUGGAGUCUACGAACCAGAAAUCCUUGAGUAAGAAAUUCUGUUGACCAGAGGGAAGGAGUUAGGCACCCUCGGACCCGUGGUUCUAGCACGGUCGCUUAAACUCAUUAUAAGUAGCUAAAAUAUGAUUAGCUAUACCUGUUAACUUGAAACUUUAGAUUGUUAAACGCUUUUAACAUCUUUUAGGAAAAUUUGCAAUGUCGCUAAAACACGUCGUGAAUCGGGUCACAUAAAUGCACCAGCAAUUUUGGACAUAUUUUAAUUUAAUUGAGAAUGGGAUUUGGAUCACAUAAAUGUGCACCCGAAUUUAGGAAGGCAUUUUCAUUAAACAUGCGCCUAUAGCUACUACGUCUUCGAAAUUCGUGGAAAGGCCGUGAAAUUCGCUAAACGACACUUUCUAUUUUCUAUGUAUUUUAAUGAAUUAAAGAGCCAUCCCAUAGUAUUGGAUUAGAUUAGUACGGCUCCCCUUAUUUUUAGUACGUUCUAAAGUAUGCAAAAUUCUCUACUAUUGCUAGUGCUUAAAUGAACUGAUCAUUAUAGGCCGUAUAUUUGGGAAAAAAUAAUACGCGCACCCUAUCCUCAUUCAUGGAUAAUUUCAUACACUUAUUCAAGUUUGGCCAGCUCAGAAUACACAUUAUAUUUGCUGUGACUAACAGCUGUUGGGCCUGGUUCGUGACUGGCUUGGACCUUUUAUUCGUCCAGCCUAGAAACAAGUAAUAUUACAAUUCCCUGGUGCUUACUGGGCCUCUCGGAUGAGCCCAGUGUUGACUUGGACGAAACAGUCCAAAAUCUCCAUAACAAUUCUUUGGUUCGAAAUUAUAUACAAAAAUUGAAUAUCUACACAUUCACAAAGAAAAUACUAACGAUCAUUUUCAUAUCGAUUUUCAAUAUUAGAUCUAAACUAAAUGAUUCACAUACUCAUCACUCGGAGUAUCUGAAUCCAACUUUUAAAAUUCAAGUGUGAUUCAAGCUACAGUAUAUGGGAUAAAUCUGGUGGACGAAACAGUCCAAAAUCUCCAUAACAAUUCUUUGGUUCGAAAUUAUAUACAAAAAUUGAAUAUCUACACAUUCACAAAGAAAAUACUAACGAUCAUUUUCAUAUCGAUUUUCAGCAUUGGAUCUAAACUAAAUGAUUCACAUACUCAUCAAUCGGAGUAUCUGACUCCAACUUUUAAAAUUCAAGUGUAAUUUAAGCUACACUACAUGGGAUAAAUCUGAAAACAAAUUAUUAUUAAUUGUAUUGAGAUUUGGGUAAACUAAACUAUACACAAUGUUUUGGAUUUCAACUAGUUAUUAAGCUAAUAUUUCCUGAGUCCCUCAUUUUUUUAAACAAAGCAGGAAAUAAGCAUCUAAAUCAACCAAAUCAAUAACUAUACUAUAAGCUAUUCAUGCUUAAAAUGAUAGUUCGAUUGUAUGUUUGGUUUGGAGCCCCAGGGCUCGGGUGAGUUUUGAUUAGGUUCAGGGAGGUCUAAGUCAUAAAAUAUAGCAGGAUUGCAGGUGAACCAGCGCGGCUGCUCUCCCUAUCAGUGCGGUCCGUGCUGGAAGAAUCAGAGAAUUUUUAUAUUGCAGGUCUUGGAAACCUCUGGCGCGGCCCGCGUGAACACGUGUGUGGCUGUGAAGGGGCCAGCGCGGCCGCGGUCCGCGUGGCUGGCCUCAUAGAACCAUCAACCUCUAGAUCUACCAGUGCGGCCGCGGUCCUUCUUGCGCGGUUCGCGCUGGGACUUCUGGGAAGGUUUAAAGAGACGGUAUUUUCAGUGAUUUUAUACUUUUUUUAAAACCCCAAAACAUAAGAGGCGAUUUAUCAAACAACUCUUCUUCUCCAAAACGAUUGGUAAGUGAUUUCUAAACUAUUUUUCCCGUUACGUAGCAUCUUUUAACAUGAUUUCAACUUCAAAACAAAGGUUUUAAUGAAAAAUUUGUGAAUUUUGGGUAGAACCUAGGUUUUGUAAAAUUGGGGGUUUUGGACCUCAAUUCGAGGUCCGAUUCCAAAAUGAAUCAUAUAUUUGAGUUCAUGGGGGAAUGGAUAAUCGUGUUUUGGUUUGAACCUCGAGUUUUGACCAUGUGGGCCCGGGAGCAUUUUGGCCUUUUGGAUAAAACUUGGUAAAAAUUUAUUUUCAUGCUUUGGGGUUGAUUUCAAUUGUAUUUAUUAAUGUAAUAAAGUGAUUUGUGACUAAACUCGAGCGGUUUGUUGGUGGAAUCAAGGGGUAAAGUCAUACUUGAGGUUUGAAUCAAGUUUUAUGCAUCGAGGUAAAUGUUUUAUUUAACCCUAGCUUGAGGGAUUAGGAGUUGAGUCUUAUUUGCUACGUGUUUGUAUUGUGUACGACAUAUGGGUAUAGUGAUGACUAUCCUUAUGUUGAUGUCGAUCAUGACCGUGGGUCUUAAAUUGAUAGUUGUGAAUUCUUAAUUGAUCAAAUAAAACCCUUGAUUGAUAAAUCCUUGAUACUGAGCAUUGGUUUUAACUGUGCCGAGAAGAACUUUAAUAGGAUUGGUUAUAGCUGACUCUCACUUGCCAGGGUAUUUGAAUUGUUGUUAUUGUAUUCCCUUGUCGAGAAGUUAUUACAUUGUCUUGUUCCCUUGUCGGGAUUAUUUUGUAUAUUGUGUUAGAUCAAAAUGGGAGUGGUGGUAUGCCUAUCACAAGAUAUUAAUGAAAUAAGAUCGGGUGGUACGCCUACCACAAGAUAUUGACUGAAAGGGAGCGGCUGGUACGCCUAUCACAAGUUAUGAUGAAAUGGGAUCAGAUGGUACGCCUACCACAAGUUAUGAUGAAAUGGGAUUGGGUGGUACGCCUACCACAAGUUAUGAUGAAAUGGGAUCUGGUGGUACGACUACCACAAGUUAUGAUGAAAUGGGAUCGGGUGGUACGCCUACCAUAAGACAUUGAUUAAAAUGGGAGCAGGUGGUACGCCUACCAUGAGAUAUUGAGAAAUGGGAUCGGGUUGCACGCCUGCAACGAGAUGAGUAUUUAAGUGAAAGUUGUUUCAUAUAUUCUUAUUUGUGUCAGUAUCUUUACAAUGGGUUCUUUGUCAGUUCUGAGAAUUUUGUUUGUUUUGCUAUCCCCAGAGCAUGUUUCCCCUCCCCAGUUUUACUUCUUAUUUCCUGAUGUUUCCUUCGCCAUAUAUUAUGUAAUUGUACAGGUUUAUCUAGAGUCUGGUCCUAGCGUCGUCACUACUUCGCGGGGUUAGGCCAGUCACUUACCAACACAUGAGGUCGGUUGUGCUGAUGCUACACUCUGCACUCACAUGCAGAUAUCGGAGCAGCUUUUGAGCAGAAGCAAUAGAUUGGGAGUAGACCUCCAGACCAGAGACAUCGAGGUAGUCCUGCUUACAUCCACAGGCCCGAAGUAUCCUCUAUCAUUAUUUCAGUUUGUUAUCCUUGUACGGAGACAGACAGAUUAUGACUUCUUUCAGUCUAUUGUAUGUAGUAAUCUUAGAAGUUCGUGCGUAAUGUGACACCAAAUCUUCGGUAGAGUUCUGUAUUGGGAUUCCGCAUUUCCUUUCAGUUAUUUCCAUUCGAGACUUUCGCUUUUAUCAUUAAAUGCUUCAAUUUUUUAAAAUUUAUUGAUGGUUGCUAAAAGAGAUAAUUAAUAAAUGGCUUGCCUAACUCCUAAUAGCAGGCGCCGUCACGACUCCCAAGGGUGAGAAAUCUGUGUCGUGACAAGUUGGUAUCAGAGACAUAGGUUACAUAGGUCUCACAACUCACGAACAAACUUGGUAGAGUUUGAGGGAUCUAUACUGAGACGUCUGUAUUUAUCCCCAGAGGCUACCGAGUUAGGAAAAUUUCACAUUUGUUCCUUCUUGUCGUGCGGUUCUGUUUCUCAAAUACUGAUUGUCUUUCUACUCUGUUCUUUGCAGAAGGCGAGAACACGCGCUUCAUCAUCUUCUGCUCAGAAGUUCGAGCCCCAGGCAACCCCCCCUAGGGGCAGAGGGUGAGGCCGAGACCGUGCAAGAGGCCGAGAUAGGGCAGAGCCUAGCCCCGAGUAGCAGCACCAGUGGCGUAGCCUCAGGUGGAUUUUGACGAGGAGGUUCUGGCCCCAGCUCUAGCAGUUCCGGUGGGCCCAGCUCAGGUCCCAUAGGGGUUCAUUGCCACCCCAGUUUUUUAGGAUGUUCUGGCCUGGUUAAUGGGUCUUAUGGAGAGCAUCCCCCGGGCAGGUUUGCUUCCUGUAGCACCAACCAUCUCUCAGGUCGAAGGAGGGGCCUAGACUCCUGAUACUCGUACUCCAUAGCAGGUAGCUUUGCAGGUUCAGAUAUUAGUAGUUCAGCUAGCUAUAGUAGUUUAGCCGUGAGUGGUUGUUCAGACCGACAGUGGAGCGAUUAUGUCCGCAAAUGCUUUGUGGACGUUGGAUAGGUUCAUGAAGCUCUUCACUACUUCUUUCAGUCGUGCACCCACUGGCGACCCUUAGGAUUAUUUGGAUAGCUGCCAUGAGGUUCUUUCAUCAUCAACUUUUAGCUUAUUCAGAGUGGAGAGAGAGCAAACAAUCGCACUAGAACCAUUGUCGACUAAUACCCGGGUAACCACAGAAUCUUCGCACUUCACCAUAAGAUAAAGGGCUCUAUUGUACUCAGUACCCUCUACGGGUAAUUCAUCAUCUGAAAAAGUGACUUUGCUUACCUCGAAAAUCUUGUUGGAUAUCUUUUCCAAGUGAUUUAUUGAGACUUUGUUAGGAAUGUGGGCCUCAUUUAGGAUAUUCAUCAGUGCCGACGUGCUCAUCUGAAUGAAUUAACAAUGACAUCAGUGAAAUUUGAGCAGGCGUCUUCCUCAACUGCUCCAAAAUAGAAGAGUCUUGCACCUUCAUCUUUUUCAAAAACUCCUUUGCUUCUUCUUCAGUCACGGCUUUCUUCACCAAUACUAGGUUAUCUUUGGAGGUUUUAGCUUUUCUUACUUCUCGAGGGCGAAGCAUCUCCCCGACAGGGUCAAUCUAUGGGUCCCGCAUACUUCUUCUUUAACCUCUUUUCUUUUGUAAGUCAUUGUCACUCGCUCAUAAUUCCAAGGGACGACCUAGAUGUUGACUAUUGGUAGCUUAGUUAUAGGUUUGAUAAUUACACGCUUUGUGCGAGCACCUUUCACAACCACGACAGGCUUGUUUGCCACCCCUCGUACCACCACUUUUUUUUUUCUUGUUUCACCGCACCAUCAGUUGAGGACCCCUUCUUGAUCAUUACAGUUGGUUCACUAUUUGCUAUUCAACUUGAUCAGUGAUUUCUCCUUUGUUGACUUUUCAACCGGCUUAGCUUCACUUGACUGAAUCACCAUUACGGUCUGUGAAGGCUUCUUAGGCUCCCCUCUUCUAUGCACUAUCUCAAUCAUAUUUACCUCAUAAUGAGCCGGCAGUGGGUUUUGGUUGAUAUUAGGCAUCUUCAAAGCUUGGAAUUUAAUUCGAUUGGUAUCAAUAAGUUCUUGAAUAGCUAUUUUCAAUUUCCAACAUUUCUCUGUGUCGUGCCUCGAAGCACCAGAACAAUUUUCGUAACUCACAAAAUGGUCAAGAUUUCUCGGGGGAGGAUUUGGCAGUUUUGGAUCGAUCGACCUCAGCAUACCCAAUUACUUAGCUUGUGGAUCAAAUUAGUAUAGGAUUCUCCCAAUUGAGUAAAAGUCUUCUACCUCUCAUUCUUGAAGGCUUGAUUGGGCCGGAUACCUGUUCCAUGGGGAUUUUUGUAGGCUCUUAGGGGUGAAUAGGCACUUUGUGGAGCUGGGUAGGUAUUCUGUAGGGUUGGCGCACACUAUUGUGUGUGGGCAGGAGGUUGAGUGUAUGUUUGUACAUGAUGAAUAUAAAAACGGGGAUCUGUGGUGGGUAGUAGUGUUGUGGUGGGCUAUCUGGAGUGCGGGGUUAAGUUUGGUGCUGGGGUCGAGGCUGGUUGUAAUAAUGUGAUGGGCCUUUGGAUCCGAACCAAGCUCCUGACUCAAUUGUUGCGACAUCCUCUUUCUUUUUCUUUCCAAUUACUCUCCCAAUUCUGCUUUGGAUGGCUUGGGUGGUUGCCUUGAUCGCCAAAUAGCUCAUGAUCUUAUUAGACUUGAGCCCUUCUUUUACCAUGAUCCCCAUUUUCACCACUUCAUUGAAGGACUUGCCUACAGCCGAUACCAAAUGACCGAAAUAAGUGGGCUCUAAGUCCUACAGGAAAUAAUCCACCAUUCCACUUUCUUUCAUUGGAGGGUAAACCCUCACUGCUUACUCUCUCCAAUGGAACCCAUAUUCCUUAAAACUUUCAUUAUGCCUUUUCUCGAGUUUUGUCAAAGAUAGAUGAUCCGGAAUAAUCUCAAGAUUGUACUGGAAGUGACAAGAAAAUGACUGGGCUAGAUCAUCCCAUGAGUACCAUCUUCCGUGAUCCUGCUAGGUAUACCAUUCCAAUGCUGAACCACUCGUACAAAUCAAACUUGGGCUUUUUAAACAUUGCUAGCAAUUGCACAUAUGGAAAUAAGCAUAGAUCUUUGUAAGCCAAACUUACUUCACCUCCCAACCUCCGCAUGUCUCUGAAUGACUGUUCUAUGCUUUUUAACUUUCCUGAACAUUUUCUCCUGUUCGGGAUUUUUGGACGGUUUCUCAGCUUUCAUAGGGACAUCAAAACGGGGAGUGUAUGAGUAGGGUUUUGGGCUUUAAAAGUAGGCUCCGAAGGGUAAUAAUGGUUAUCGUGUGGUUGGAAAAAAGAUUCACUGGAAGAUCUGCAGAGUGUAACGGGUGGGUGCCACGAAAAAAGGAGUGGCUGGAGUAGGGUAUAGAACUGGUUUGGUGGUGGAGCUGGUAGUGUUUGGGAGGUGAUGCUUUAGUUGUGUUGGUGGAUGGGAAAUCUCGAGGAAGAAUCGGUGAUAGGAUGAUCCUGCGACUGAGCCAAUGGAGGGACGAAGGUAGGGUUGGUGGGCUAAGCUGGUGGUGGUCGCCCUUUUGUUUCACUUUAUACAUCUCUUCUUUCAUCACAUUAAUAUCCAACUCUUCCACCUCUCUUGAGGGAUCUAUGAUACUCGCAUCAGGCUCCUGGUUAGCCAUGCUCGACUUGUUUUUGGACCGGGUGUUGUAUGGGUCGGUUGCUAGAACGCCACAAAACUAACCACCUACCUACUACUAGAGGACAACUACAAGCUUGUUAGCGGUCAGGGUUUAACAAAUAGGCAACUGCACAUUUUGGAAUGAAUGCACCGAAGUAGUUAUCAGUUUAUAUUAUGCAUUUGAUUGGCUAUUUUCGUUAUCCCGGCCUUUCCUUAUUUGUAUUUACAAUUUUUCUUUUUCUCUCUCUUUUUUCACCCAUGCCUUUCUCUGCUUGAUUUUUCUUUGUUGUUUAUUAUCUAUCUUAUUUUUUUAUUGAUUUCUUCUCACAUUUUUUUAUUUCCCUCUAUUUUUUUCCCUUUGUUUUUCCUCUCUUUUCCUCUUCUCUUUUUUUUUCUAUUUUUCUCUUUUAUUUUGGUUAUGGUCAAAUCCUAUGAAGAUUACCUACGUAUUGACCCCCCAUCAAUCAAACCGAGCGUAGUUCUGGAGGAUAAGUAUAAAAUAAGUAGUAACAUAUUUUAGAAUUUUCAAAUUUUCAUAAGAAGCAAUGUUUUGAUUAUAAUGACUCAAGGACUAAUAGACUCAAAAGCAACUAAUAGACUCUAAUGAAGAGGUGAAAAUACAACCUCAAGAACAAACUGAUAGACUCCAACAGAAGGUGAAAAUACAAACUCGAGGACAGACUAACAGACUCCAACGAAAAUCACGAAUACAUCAAUGCCUCUACUGCUCCUGGGGCCCAUGGGACAUCAUUCGGUCUCUCCACGGGCCUACGUGAUAAAUCCCCUUGGAGGUGGAGGAGGUCUUCCAUUACCUGGCGGACAAAGGUCAUCGCAGUGGCAAAGAACAUGGAUCUAGUCAUACCUUUACAACUACUACACUUCAUCGCGAUGUAAUCGAUGAUCCUUCGGAUUCUCUCUCUCUCAUGACAUCCUUUUCUUGCAACAAACGCUCAAUCUACUGGGCCCUGGCUUCCAAAGUUUGUUCGGCUACUUGAUUCUGUUCUUGAAGUUUUUUCAAAUCUUUUUCUAGAUGUGUCGUUGCCAUAUUGCAGUGUUCUCUUUCAGCCUUAAAGUCCUUCGCCUAAUUGACCAUUUUGUUCGCGACGAUAAUGACCCUUUUCUUCAAUCCCUCAACCUUGUUGUCUUACUUUUCUUUUAACUUUUUAACCAGGCGCGCUCGUUUCUCUGCAUUUUUGGCCAAUUGCUUUCGAGCCCAUGCUAGUUCACCCUCUGCUUUGUUUAAAUCUAAACUAUAUUCACCUACUUUCUGCCUAAGGUGGUCUAUGAGUUUCUCAUUUUUUACACUUUUGGUGGGGUUUUCUGCCGCUAGUUUCAUUUUCUGAAUCUGGCUCGAAGGGCCUCAUUUUCUUUGGCUAGCAUUCUCUUUUCACCCUCAUCCGCUGCGUCUUGCAAAACCAUUUUCAAAUUGAAGGUCUUUGACUUACUUUUCCAGCUUUCUUGUCGUGGCCCUGUACUCAUUUUCCUUGGUCAACCAAACCCACUUUUCGUGUGACGCCUCAACAAAUUCUUGAAGAUGGGGUCUUUUAGCCGGCCUUGUAAACUCAAUUUCCCUUUUAUACCAAACAAGUUACCCUGGUGAAACUUCACCUUUGGAUAGAUCACGCACACACGUAUUUGCCGUCAAAUACUGACACUCGCUCCAAAUCUGUCGGAAUGCUGCUUCAUGAAACUGACCAUCAUGACCAAUCUCGACUGCCCGGGAACUAAGAUCUUCAUCUUUUGGCAAUAUGUGACAUCUCCCCAGCUGUCUCAAAACCCGGUAUGGGGCAUAAGGCUUGAUACUCCUGAGACCCAUCAAGAGGAAAUAAGGCCUGAUAGAUGGUAUGUAUAUGAUCUCACCUAUAGGAAGCCAUCCAAAUGUCCAUUCCAUUUGUCUUACGAUGAGGGAAUGGAGGUGUGAUACCCAUUCUGUGACCCCUUCAGGCAGGCUAACACCAUCAACCCUAGUAUAAAAUUACUUUAUGCAGUUUUUCUCUAUCAACCCAUAACUCAUGAAUUGAGGACAAUGACACAGGUGUUCAAUCAUCCACAUCUGCAGCAACAAUUUGCAUCCCUCGAAAAGGUCUCCUCCGACUUUGCAGGCUGUAAGAGUGCGGAAGAUUUCAGCUACUAUCAUGGGUGCGAGUGUGCUUUUGGCCUGAGUAAGCAAAGUGCUGACUAUCCCAUUUAUUCGUGUGUCGAUGUUCCCAUCUUUCUUAGGAAACACUAGAAGACCCAAGAAUACUACCAUAAAAGCAAUGCACUGAUGCUCUUUCCAUUUGAGGUGAUUCCCUUUGCUACAAAUUUUGUACUCUGGAUUGUUAAACCCUCCUAUGUGACCGUACCUUUGAUAUAUAAACUAUUGAGUGGAAAAGUCGGCUACCAAAUAUUGGUUAUGGACCCAUGCUUAUCUUUAGGAAUCUAGAGACCUAUACACAGUGACGAUUCUUGUAAUAACCAGAUACUUGUGUCUAAAUGGAACCUCACAGCUCCCAACGUAUCCAGCAAUUUCUUCUAAAGUUGGGGUGAGUUCAAAAUUUGAGAAAUAAAACACAUUGUGGAUCGGGUCCCAAAAUGUAACCAACGCCUUUAUGAUGUCUCCUCUAGGCUUAAUUUUCAACAACCCAGUGAGACCUCCCAAAUAUGAAUUGACCUUAUCUUGCCCAGAUUUACCCAAAUCAUCCCACCACAUAUGCAAUUCCAAAAGGAUUUUGUUCAUGACUGUUAUUGACAAAUUUUUACUGGUGCUCAUUCUACACAUUUAUUAAGGCGAUUAAGCAAAAUCAUGAUUCAUUUGACUCAAAACAAGGCUGACACUGCCUUUUAUGCAAAUUCUUAUUUCAAAAAUAAAAUCCAUCUUUGCAAAUAUGGCCUUUCAGCAUUCUGGGAGAAAAUUCUAAGGUUGUGCUUCUUAAUCGGCCCAAAAAUUUGAAAAUGAGACCAAAGGCAGCUAUUCUUGCAAAAAUAGCCUUUUGGUAUCCUUUCAGGGACAUUCGGCUAUUUUUUGACAAGAAUAGAAUCAUCUUACUUAUUUAUAAAAAAGUGAUAAACUUUUAGUUUUUUGGGAUGCUUUUGCAAAAAGAAAGUUGAACCCAUUGGGGGUUGCCUGUGUAUCCGACAUCUGGUAAAAUCAAACUGGCAUAGUACGAGAAAUUCUGACAAAAAAACAACUCUUUUUUUCUUAAAAAACACAAAACUUUUCUUUUCUUUUCUUUUUCAAAAUUUUGGCAGAGUUUUAGUACAUUUUGGACAUUGAUUUUUCAAAAACAGACAAUCAUCUCUCUCAGUCCUCACAUUGAAUUUCCUUUUCUCAACUUUCCUAUAAGUCGGUCAAUAUGCAAAUCCGAAGAAAAUAAAUGCACAAAUAGCAAGUAGGAUGCAUUAGGAUGCUCUUUUCAUUUCAGGUACAAAUGUCCUAGACAGACCCAGCCCCUAUGUUGAGUCUUCAAAGUCAAAUGCAUAUGAUGCAAACAAACGUUCCUACUAGGAAUCCGACAUGAGGCUAAGUUCAUCUAGGAUCAAAACCUGGGUAUAAUAUUCUAGACUUGUGUACCCGAGCAGACAACUCAAGCCGAGAAGAGGGUUACGUACUGUGAACCAAAAGGCCAUCCGGCUUAGUAACUUUUCCGAGCUUCUUUCUUAUUUCAAGAUAUGACACUAAUAGAAUAGGGAGUCACGGCCAGUGUGCACAUCCCCGGAGAUGAAUAGAGAAGGGUUUCGCAGCAGUUUAUAUACAGUUGAGAUAAUAUCAAAGAGGUAAAAACAACAUUUAGCACAUUAGGCCCAAACAUAUAAUAAAAUCAGAUAAUAGAUAAAGCAAAAUAUAACAAUUCAUCUAAGCUCAAAUUUUGAACCUUGAUCUGGGAAACCAAAGAUUCUGGGUUCACUCCCCAGCAGAGUCGACGGAGCUGUCAUGCCUCCUUUUUUCACUACACCCCUGGAAUGGAGUAGAAGGAAGUUAUUUCCAACUUAAAGUGACAAUUGAAACAGAAUUAUUUAGUUAUUAAAUUCAGAGUUGCCACUUGAGAUAAUUUAUGGUGUCCGAAGUCACUGGUUUAAAUCCCAAAUCAAGGAAAAGAUUCACUCUGUUUUACAAUCCGCGAACCAAAAAUCCAAGUAAGGAAUUCUGUUAACCUAGGAGAAGGUAUUAGGCAUUUUUGAGUUCUGUGGUUCUAGCGCGGUCGCUCCACUGUUAUAAGCGGCCUAUUAUCUGAUUUUUAAUACAUUUCAAACCUAAAUGCAUUUUUAACUUCAUAGUUGAUUUUAUUCAUUUUAAGAAAGAUUGCAACGUCAUUUAAAAUAUGUCUUGAACCACGUCACAUAAAUGCACCCGCAGUCCGCAACACAUUUUAUCUAACAUUAUUGAGAUUUGGAUUUGGGUCACAUAAAUGUGCACCUGAGUUUAGGAAGGAAAAUUAUUAAAAUAACGCGUCUAAAGAAAAUACAUGUUUCUAACUUUGCGAGGGCCAUAAAAAUUCGCUAAAUAGCACGCCUCGAUUUUUUAGGGAUAAGAAUAUUAAUUAAGCGAGGGUCAUGUAAUUUAUGAUUUUGUUUGCCAUAGCACACCUUGAUUUUCAAUUAAAAAGGAAAUUCAAACUAAACUCCGAGGGCCAUACUUUAUGCAAUUGGUCAUUAUGCCACACCUCCAUUGCUAAAGAAACGAUGAAUUAAUUAAAGGGCUACUAAAAUCGUCACUACCCCAAAUGUUAAUGGAAAAGGGUUCUACUAAGGUCCAAGACUGGAUAAUAUAUUUAAUAAAAGAAAAAAGCUAAUGGUGUGAAGUCCAAUUUUUGGCCUAUCGUGAGGCCCAAUAACCUCAAAAGACGCGAGGUCAUUCUUAUUGUCCAAUUUGCAUCAGUCCAAUGUUAUGCUGAGGCCUGAGUAUUAUGAAAAACCCAGUAGCCUAAUACAGCUAUCAGAUCGUUGAGUUACAGGCCUUGUGCCAAAUUCUGCACAAGCCCAAGAGAAGAACCCAACCUUGGUGAAAUAUGCAUUAUGAAACGCCCCAUGUCUGCAUUUCGAGUCCAGGUACUAGCAGUAAGCAAUUUAGAUUUGAAAUAUAGAGUGACAAGAAAUUCCAAACCUCACAUAUCCAAGAAUUCGAUAUUGAACAACCCCAAAAUCUGAACUAACAAUUACUAGACAUCGAAACACUGAUGGUAAUUAAACAGACAAUGGUUCCAAGCCUUUUUUAGUUCCAACACAUGUGGCUAAUCCAUGAAAUACUAUCCAUUAGCUAUUACUGAAACUUAUAAGACUAAAAAUAAACAUGCUCAUUUCUGAAUUUACACAUUCAAGCCGAUUGUAUAAACAUUUCAAACUUCUACACCAUUUCUAAACUAAAAUUAUUCACAUGCUAUUUGACAAUACAUCGGCAAUAUCCUGAUUACCCUUAGCAUUUUUUAACCCCAAUUCAAACAUGAGAUUAACACCCAAAAAAAUGAUUAUCCAUAUUUAGCCAAGGAUGAAACAACCUCACUACAUUUUUAACCUACUCGAAGCCCUUAGUGCAACAGUCUAACAGUCCAAAAUUUAAUUACAACAUGGAAACUUAGCUAGUCAAAAGAAACCAACUAAACUACAUUGGAUCAAAUGGCCAAACAGAUAAACAUCAUGAAAGAUCACCACUGCGUUUAUUCUAUAUUCAAAUUGUCUACAUUAUGAAAGAUUCAGAAUCGGUACCUGGAGAUUUAAAGGAAAGAGGAGAAGAAACAGUAAUAGCAACAAAACAACAGCUUCAACAAAUCAGUCCAACCAAAAAUUUGAGGUGAAACAAUAACAAAAACACCCUCAAUUGAGCUAGGACUACAACAACUUCAAAUCAAACUUUAAAAAUCCAAAUUCAAACCAUUUCCAUAUCAAUUGAAUCAAAACUAUCUCAGAAAUGGAACAAAUCCAAGACUACUGGAAAAAUACAAUGGAACAGUACAAGAGCUCAGCCUUUUAUAUUUUUCAGAUUUUUAUCUUCCAAUCUCCGCCUUAAAAGGCAAGAAAAGGUGUCUUUAUAGGCAAGGGAAUAGGGUAGCAUUGAAGAAUUAGUUUUUACGCCUUAGUCCCUUUCUAAUUUUCUUUUUAACUCAUAAAUCCUUAGCUAAUUUUCCAUUUUGCUUAGCUACCCUUAAUGUAGUUAUCAAAUUAUCAACACAGCCCCACCCCAGCUUCUUAGGAAGCUUCCUAUUCUUUUAAAAAAAGAUUCCCUGAAACAGUUACCCAAAGUAUCCCUCGGACCUCUGAUAUUUACCCUCCUAACCUAAACCAACUAUGGGUCAUAUUGACCCAAGUUAAUGGGUCUGAAUUAGACCCAAGUCAAUUCCUUUUGGCUUAAUUUUUAGGUAUCAAUUGAAAUCAGUCGAAGAUUCAAAAAUCUGACCUAGAAUUAAUAAAGAGAAAGAGACACGAGAAUUUUAAGCCAAAGCCUGAAACCCCAAAGGGAAAAGAAAUAUACGAUUCAACUAAUUCUAAACAAACAACCAGAUAAUUAUGUUGACUAACAAACAGGGCGUGCAUUAAUAAUCUACAGGCAUGGUGUGAAGAAGCGGAACCACAAACAAAUAAACGAGAUGAAGAAGGAUAACUUUUAAAAAACAAAAUAACAAAAAAAAAAAAAAUACAAGAAAAGAACCAACCAAAAUGCAAACAUACCUAACGAACUGGCCAGGCCUUGAAGUUCUUGUUCAAAAUCUCGAUUUAACUGAAAGGGGGCCUCAAUCAGGUGUUCUCAUAUGAAAACACACGACCAAGGUCCGUUUUGGUCUUAAUCAACACUAAAUCUACCAAAUCUACAGAUUGACAUUUUUUAUGUCUCAUUUCAGCUUAAGAUUCGACGAGCUCAGGGGUGUUCGAAGGAAACUGACCUGAUAUUUGGAAAGAGGAGAGGGUAGUGGUUGUUUGGUGUUGAUUUGGGUAGAAUUGGGGUAGGCGUCACCGGAUUUGGAGCGGUGGGGAAAAAAGGGCUGCUAGGGUUUUGAUGGGUGUCUCUAAGAGAGUGUUUUGAGAGAG
rnacentral:lncRNA from 1 species